AACGCUUAGGAACAAAUACAAAAAAGAGGGAUCACAUGUAAAAAUUUCAACAAUGAAUAUAAUGAAAUGGAUUCCUUUAGUCAUAUGUGUCAUUUCACAUAAUCGAAUCUCCAGUUCCGAUGCUUCUGUUAUUAGGCUGAACACUGAUGCAGCUCACACACAGAAGCACAACUGCAUGGAUUCGGAUACUUCUGAACCUUGUAAUAUUACCAAAGAUAACCAAGACAUUAUUGAAAAAAGAAAAAAGUCAAAAUUGCCUAACACAGUUGAAUGGAUAUAUUCUCAAAACAAAAAAGAAAUAUUCACAAUUGUUGCUUUCAUGUUUUUCUUAUUUAUAAUAUAUUUAUUCAUAAGAAAGGUUUCUAAAAUGUUUAAUACUCGAUUUUUCACACCAGGCUGUAGGUUAGUUUAUAGUUAACAAAAAUUUAUUAUUAUGCCUAUUAUUAUCAAUCUAUUUUCACAUCUUUAAAGGACUCCUGAAUCGUUUUAACUAUAGCAAAUCGACAAUUAUGAAACAAAGUGCAACUAAUUCUCUUUUUACACGAUAGAUGUUCCCAAAAAAUUCGCUUUAAAAAAGAAUUAGGUGUAAAUAUAAAAAAAUUCUUGUUAGAGUUCAAUUAAGAAUUUAUUUCCUGCUUACACACUUUAAUUCGUUAAACAUAUUAUAAAAAUAAGGAAUUAAUAUAAUAAGAUUCACUAACACACUUAACUCGUGUUAAAUAAAAGAGAGAAUUAGAUGUAUUCCAUAAUCGAAUCUCGGGUAAAAGGAUCAAGUACACCAGAAACCCGUUACUGGUCCUCGCCCGUAGAUAAUAAUUAUUUACUUUACUUGCGGUUACAACUGUAUUUAAUAUAUUAUUUUGUUAACAAGUUAUUUUUGGUUUAUUUUUAAAACUACCGUAUUAAAUGUAUUAUUUUUGUGAUAACUCUGUAAUUAAAUCUUUUUGGGGCCUA